rnacentral:rRNA from 1 species
UAAUACGGAGGGUGCAAGCGUUAAUCGGAAUUACUGGGCGUAAAGCGCACGCAGGCGGUUUGUUAAGUCAGAUGUGAAAUCCCCGGGCUCAACCUGGGAACUGCAUUUGAAACUGGCAAGCUAGAGUCUCGUAGAGGGGGGUAGAAUUCCAGGUGUAGCGGUGGAAAUGCGUAGAGAUCUGGAGGAAUACCGGUGGCGAAGGCGGCCCCCUGGACGAAGACUGACGCUCAGGUGCGAAAGCGUGGGGAGCAAACAGGAUUAGAUACCCUGGUAGUCCACGCUGUAAACGAUGUCGAUUUGGAGUUGUGCCCUUGAGGCGUGGCUUCCGGAGCUAACGCGUUAAAUCGACCGCCUGGGGAGUACGGCCGCAAGGUUA